rnacentral:lncRNA from 1 species
GCGGGUAGAGCUUUCCAGGGUGACCUUGGGAUUGGUGGGAUUUGGGGGGACAAGCUUAGGGAUUGGUGGGAUUCUGUGGCCCAAUGUUGGGCAAGCUCAGGAAUUGGUGGGAUUCUUUUUCUUGGUCCUGGGUUUGGGUUUAGGUUCAAGUCAGGAGCAGGUUAUCUUUUGGCCCUGGUCUCGGGGUUUAGAAAGUCCUAUCAUAAGUUUGUGCAUUCCAGCUUGAAACAAGCCUCGGCCACUGUUGUAACUUUAGACAUGCUGUCAUCUAGGCUUCCUUAUGUGAAUGAAUUCAGACAUUAGCCAUGGCCCUUUGUGCAUAACACUGGGUGGAAAGCUUGGCCCUGAGCUCCGUUUCUGCUCUGUUAUUUUUGAUAUUGGCUAAAACAGACAGCCAUGCUGUCCACAGCUGUGAAGACACCCGGAAUUCCAUAUUUAGCAAUUUAGAUAUAGUCUUCACUUACGAUGAUGUGCACGCAGCACUUUCUGUAGCAGAAAAUGAAAAUCACAACCGAAGCAAAUAGAAACCUCUAAAUUAGGUAUAGGAAAAAUAUGGAGAAAUGUAUAGUGUGUGUAACAUUGCUUUUGGGUAGAUAAAGGGUACACAUGUGUAGAAUAAAUACUUAUGGACAAUAUAUAAAAUUGAUGAUGACUGAGAAUGUCAUAAAGGACAGGUGUGUCUGCGUAGGGGUGGAAGGAGAAUUGAACUACCCCCUCCACUUCCCCCGCAGACCCACCUCCUCUAUAUUGAGUAAUUAGAGCUAUAUCUGAGCAAUGGACACACUACCAAGCAUGCCUGAACUACCGUCCUUGAGCUACAGAUGGUGCUAUGGAACCAAACUAAGAGGUUGCCGUUCUUGCCGUUAGGGCUGCUCCGCGUCAGGUGGGCGGUAUCUCAGCGUCCAUAUGAGCCAGAAACAUCAUUACUGUGGUUGUCACAGUGGGGACAUGGGUCGCUGGACGUGCCUCACUCUGGAAGGAAGAAAGCUCGGGGUUAUGGUUCUGGCCUCGGCUUUUCCUGCUGCCUCUGCAGCCAUAAGUCUCUGGGACCUCUCUACCCUCUGUCUCCCAGAGGCCCCUGUGCUGCCUUCCCACAUUCUGGGGUCUCAGGUGCUGACCUUAUGAGGGAUCAGUCUGAAUUGGAGACACCCUGCCUUCGUGGCUUAUCUUCACAAAUAAGAAAUACUUGAAGCCAGGGAUGCCCAGACUGUCCUUUCGUCUUCUCAUACGUUGGUGGAAAGACUAUCUCCAGUGGACAGCAGAUACCUGGGGCUCAUUUUGCUGUUUUCAAAGUUCCUUUGUGAAAGGUAA